rnacentral:rRNA from 1 species
UUUGAUCCUGGCUCAGGAUGAACGCUGGCGGCGUGCCUAAUACAUGCAAGUCGAACGCAUAUCUUCGGAUAUGAGUGGCGAACGGGUGAGUAAUACAUAAGUAACCUGGCCUUAAGAGGGGGAUAACUAUUAGAAAUGAUAGCUAAGACCGCAUAGGUAUGAAGAUCGCAUGAUCUACAUAUUAAAUAUCCCACGGGAUAGCUGAAGGAUGGACUUAUGGCGCAUUAGCUAGUUGGUAGGGUAACGGCCUACCAAGGCGACGAUGCGUAGCCGACCUGAGAGGGUGGACGGCCACACUGGGACUGAGACACGGCCCAGACUCCUACGGGAGGCAGCAGUAGGGAAUUUUCGGCAAUGGGGGAAACCCUGACCGAGCAACGCCGCGUGAGGGAGGAAGUAUUUCGGUAUGUAAACCUCUGUUAUAAAGGAAGAACGAUGCAUGUAGGGAAUGACAUGCAAGUGACGGUACUUUAUGAGGAAGCCACGGCUAACUACGUG